rfam:Puccinia graminis f. sp. tritici CRL 75-36-700-3 supercont2.62 genomic scaffold, whole genome shotgun sequence.
GGGCAGAUGGCCGAGUGGUCUAAGGCGCUAGUUUUAGGAAAAUCCAUCGGUUCGGAUCUUGAGAUCACUAGUCUUCGGGCGUGGGUUCAAAUCCCACUCUGCUCA